rnacentral:rRNA from 1 species
GACGGAGGAUGCAAGCGUUGUCCGGAAUUAUUGGGCGUAAAGCGCGCGCAGGUGGUUCCUUAAGUCUGAUGUGAAAGCCCACGGCUCAACCGUGGAGGGUCAUUGGAAACUGGGGAACUUGAGUGCAGAAGGGGAAAGUGGAAUUCCAAGUGUAGCGGUGAAAUGCGUAGAGAUUUGGAGGAACACCAGUGGCGAAGGCGACUUUCGGGUCUGUAACUGACACUGAGGCGCGAAAGCGUGGGGAGCAAACAGG